rnacentral:rRNA from 1 species
GACGAACGCUGGCGGCGUGCUUAACACAUGCAAGUCGAACGGAAAGGCCCCUUUGGGGGUGCUCGAGUGGCGAACGGGUGAGUAACACGUGAGUAACCUGCCCCUGACUUCGGGAGAACUUCCUGAAACUGGGGCUAAUACCGGAGAGGGAUGCUUGCUUCAGGGUGGGGGUUGGAAAGCUUCGUCGGUUUUGGAUGGACUCGCGGCCUAUCAGCUUGUUGGUGGGGUAAUGGCUUACCAAGGCUUUGACGGGUAGCCGGCCUGAGAGGGCGACCGGCCACAUUGGGACUGAGAUACGGCCCAGACUCCUACGGGAGGCAGCAGUGGGGAAUAUUGCACAAUGGGCGGAAGCCUGAUGCAGCAACGCCGCGUGCGGGAUGACGGCCUUCGGGUUGUAAACCGCUUUCAGCAGGGGCGAAGCUUGUGGUGACGGUACCUGCAGAAGAAGCACCGGCUAACUACGUG